rnacentral:rRNA from 1 species
GUGUCAGCAGCCGCGGUAAUACGUAGGGUGCGAGCGUUAAUCGGAAUUACUGGGCGUAAAGUGUGCGCAGGUGGCUGAGCAAGUCGAGUGUGAAAGCCCCGGGCUUAACCUGGGAAUUGCGCUCGAAACUACUUGGCUGGAGUGUGGCAGAGGGAGGUGGAAUUCCACGUGUAGCGGUGAAAUGCGUAGAGAUGUGGAGGAACACCAAUGGCGAAGGCAGCCUCCUGGGCCAACACUGACACUCAUGCACGAAAGCGUGGGGAGCAAACAGGAUUAGAAACCCUGGUAGUCC